GUUGUACUCCCUCCGUUCGGAAUUACUUGUCUCGGAAAUAGAUGUAUCUAGAACUAAAAUACGUCUAGAUACAUCCAUUUGUGCGACAAGUAAUUCCAAACGGAGGGAGUAGAAC
rnacentral:pre_miRNA from 1 species